AAUAGCAGUAUAGCGAAAAUGUCUAAGAUAAACAUUUCGGACCACAGGUGUUCAACAAACGUUUAAUCCGCUGUUAAUAUAAUUUAUCCAAGACGACGAAUUGGCAAAUUCUCGAAAAUCCCGGUUCUUCCUGUAUGACUGUUGUAACCGUAACAUUAGCACCGUUCGAAUCAUCGCUCAGUGAUUUCUCAGUGCCAAUUCAGAACUGGCCGGUUGAAGCGGAUACGUACACGUAUUUGUCGGUACAUGUUUGUUUCGUUGAGUGUGGAUGGAAGUGAAAAAUAUUGUCUGGAGGCUAGCCAACGAGACUAUUCCCGGAGUAAGUGGCAUAAAUAGCGUUGUUGUGGCCGUUCGCGAAACGGGAGACCACUUUCCGCGAAAAGAAAGAAAGAAAGAAAAUUCGCGCUGCCAGACACGAUUGCUCGAUUUUCACGGAAAUUCGAUACGGUUUCGUGGCAAACGUAUUCUGUAAUUAUUACUUCUAUAACACUUCAAUCUCAUCGACUCAACGUGGAAACAAGUUUCUGUACUCGUUAAGUUCUUAGCUUGUUAAGUUAGAAGUUAAUAUAAUUUGCAAGCAGGUCGGAACAAAAUUUAUGGAAAAAUAAAUUGACUUAAAAAGGGGCAGUAUUAUUUAUCCUGUCAAGAUAUCUACCUGUCACAAAAAUUAUCUUAUCAAGUUAUAAGUGAUAUUUCAAUGCAAUCUAUUUGGUCCAACCUCAACUUAGACUCAGAAAAGCAAGAAUGUCUUCUACUUGUAAAUCAUUUAUAUCACCUUAUAAAUUCGAAUUAUGAAUUUAAUUUACAUCCUCAUAGCAGUUAAACAGUACAGGGUGGAUUUGAAGCAACGAAACGCAAUGUCUGCGAGGUGUUAGAGUCGAAAAGGAUCGUGCCGCGUGCUUUGUUACUCGGUUUUAAUGCCGUGUCUAAUAAUAAUAUAGCAAGGCCGUUCUUCCCGAUGUACCGUGAAUGCCCGUUCGUUACGACACGUUGCACGAAAUUUGAACAACGCCACUUAACGUCCUCGCGAUGCGGCGAUAAAUCAACCCCACGGUGUUUUCCACUGGCAGUCGGCUGGCUGCCACUGCGGGCAUCGGGAAAACCAGAAAAUUCUUUGAAACAUGGAGAAACGCGGAAGAAACACGAUAUCAUUGUUCACUUUUGAAUCACUCGGAUUCCGCGUCAAAAACAUUCUUGAACGUCUUGGACCGUUGGCUCGCUUUGAAGACUUUUAUUAAAUCUUGCGAAAUUAUUAGGUGAACAUUCGAGCAUUUUCUCAGUUUAAAUAAUUUUGUGUUCUAACAUUUCAAGGAAUAUUAAACGGGUUGCUUAACGUCCUCCGUGAGAAAAAAGGAUCGCCGAAACAAUAUUUACAUUUAACAACGAUGCAUAUGCAAACCUAGACCGAUUUAUCACUUCAAAAGGACACGCGUCACGUGGAAUCCUAGUUACGAAAGCGUGGGGUGAUUGUUAAUUUAUGCUGCUCAUAAUUAAUCCGCUGGGAAGUGAAACGAAGCUGGAGCAUGUCAAGGGACUCGUGUUUUAUCAAUUAUCUCUUGAUUUAUGAACUGGAUUUAAUUUCUGGGAGUAAUUACACAUUUUUUUUUUGAGGAAAUAAUCUGUGGCACGAAAAUUUUCAAACUUUUAAAAGAAGAUUAUGUUCUACUGAAAUAUUCGUACACAGUGUCGCAACAGUGAGGAGUCGUAAAUUCUAAUGACACACGUGAUCGAACAUCCGAGAAAAUAUAUAAACGAAGGCUAGCACGCAGCGAAUUUAAUUUAGUUUCAAUAAACGUAUAGAUUACUGGCAUAUGUAUCCGUCGAAUAAGAAAUUUCUGUAAUAAAAACGCUCACAAAUAGACAUAGCACUACGUCAAUGAGCACGAAUACGUAAACAUUGACGCAAAACGAUCUUCCCAUAACAAAUAAAGCUCAUUCUUUUUUCA